rnacentral:rRNA from 1 species
AACGAACGCUGGCGGCAUGCCUAACACAUGCAAGUCGAACGAGACCUUCGGGUCUAGUGGCGCACGGGUGCGUAACGCGUGGGAACCUGCCCUUAGGUUCGGAAUAACUCCCCGAAAGGGGUGCUAAUACCGGAUAAUGUCUUCGGACCAAAGAUUUAUCGCCUUUGGGUGGGCCCGCGUUGGAUUAGCUAGUUGGUAGGGUAAAAGCCUACCAAGGCGACGAUCCAUAGCUGGUCUGAGAGGAUGAUCAGCCACACUGGGACUGAGACACGGACCAGACUCCUACGGGAGGCAGCAGUGGGGAAUAUUGGACAAUGGGCGAAAGCCUGAUCCAGCAAUGCCGCGUGAGUGAUGAAGGCCUUAGGGUUGUAAAGCUCUUUUACCCGGGAUGAUAAUGACAGUACCGGGAGAAUAAGCUCCGGCUAACUCCGUG